rnacentral:rRNA from 1 species
CGGGACACGUGGUAUCCUGUCUGAAUAUGGGGGGACCAUCCUCCAAGGCUAAAUACUCCUGACUGACCGAUAGUGAACCAGUACCGUGAGGGAAAGGCGAAAAGAACCCCGGCGAGGGGAGUGAAAAAGAACCUGAAACCGUGUACGUACAAGCAGUGGGAGCCUCUUAAUGGGGUGACUGCGUACCUUUUGUAUAAUGGGUCAGCGACUUAUAUUCUGUAGCAAGGUUAACCGAAUAGGGGAGCCGAAGGGAAACCGAGUCUUAACUGGGCGUUAAGUUGCAGGGUAUAGACCCGAAACCCGGUGAUCUAGCCAUGGGCAGGUUGAAGGUUGGGUAACACUAACUGGAGGACCGAACCGACUAAUGUUGAAAAAUUAGCGGAUGACUUGUGGCUGGGGGUGAAAGGCCAAUCAAACCGGGAGAUAGCUGGUUCUCCCCGAAAGCUAUUUAGGUAGCGCCUCGUGAAUUCAUCUCCGGGGGUAGAGCACUGUUUCGGCAAGGGGGUCAUCCCGACUUACCAACCCGAUGCAAACUGCGAAUACCGGAGAAUGUUAUCACGGGAGACACACGGCGGGUGCUAACGUCCGUCGUGAAGAGGGAAACAACCCAGACCGCCAGCUAAGGUCCCAAAGUCAUGGUUAAGUGGGAAACGAUGUGGGAAGGCCCAGACAGCCAGGAUGUUGGCUUAGAAGCAGCCAUCAUUUAAAGAAAGCGUAAUAGCUCACUGGUCGAGUCGGCCUGCGCGGAAGAUGUAACGGGGCUAAACCAUGCACCGAAGCUGCGGCAGCGACGUUUAUGCGUUGUUGGGUAGGGGAGCGUUCUGUAAGCCUGUGAAGGUGUACUGUGAGGUAUGCUGGAGGUAUCAGAAGUGCGAAUGCUGACAUAAGUAACGAUAAAGCGGGUGAAAAGCCCGCUCGCCGGAAGACCAAGGGUUCCUGUCCAACGUUAAUCGGGGCAGGGUGAGUCGACCCCUAAGGCGAGGCCGAAAGGCGUAGUCGAUGGGAAACAGGUUAAUAUUCCUGUACUUGGUGUUACUGCGAAGGGGGGACGGAGAAGGCUAUGUUGGCCGGGCGACGGUUGUCCCGGUUUAAGCGUGUAGGCUGAUUUUCCAGGCAAAUCCGGAAAAUCAAGGCUGAGGCGUGAUGACGAGGCACUACGGUGCUGAAGCAACAAAUGCCCUGCUUCCAGGAAAAGCCUCUAAGCAUCAGGUAACAUCAAAUCGUACCCCAAACCGACACAGGUGGUCAGGUAGAGAAUACCAAGGCGCUUGAGAGAACUCGGGUGAAGGAACUAGGCAAAAUGGUGCCGUAACUUCGGGAGAAGGCACGCUGAUAUGUAGGUGAAGUCCCU